UACGAAGGGGGCUAGCGUUGCUCGGAAUUACUGGGCGUAAAGGGCGCGUAGGCGGAUAUUUAAGUCAGGGGUGAAAGCCCGGGGCUCAACCCCGGAACAGCCUUUGAUACUGGAUAUCUUGAGUUCGGGAGAGGUGAGUGGAAUGCCGAGUGUAGAGGUGAAAAUUCGUAGAUAUUCGGCGGAACACCAGUGGCGAAGGCGACUCACUGGCCCCGAUACUGACGCUGAGGCGCGAAAGCGUGGGGGAGCAAACAGG
rnacentral:rRNA from 1 species